rnacentral:rRNA from 1 species
AACUAACGCUGGCGGCGUGCCUAACACAUGCAAGUCGUACGAGAAAGUUGGCUUCGGCCGAUGAGUAAAGUGGCGCACGGGUGAGUAACGCGUGGAUAAUCUACCCCUCAGUUGGGAAUAACUCAUCGAAAGGUGGGCUAAUACCGAAUAAUACUGCAUGACUUCUGUUGUGUAGUCAAAGAUGGCCUCUGCUUGCAAGCUAUCGCUGAAGGAUGAGUCCGCGUACCAUUAGCUAGUUGGUAGGGUAAUGGCCUACCAAGGCAACGAUGGUUAGCUGGUCUGAGAGGAUGAUCAGCCACACUGGAACUGAGACACGGUCCAGACUCCUACGGGAGGCAGCAGUGAGGAAUAUUGCGCAAUGGGGGCAACCCUGACGCAGCAACGCCGCGUGAGUGAGGAAGGUUUUCGGACCGUAAAGCUCUGUCGAGCGGGAAGAAAUGCAUAGUGGCUAAUAUCCAUUAUGCUUGACGGUACCGCUAAAGGAAGCACCGGCUAACUCCGCGCCAGCAGCCGCGGUAAUACGGGGGGUGCUAGCGUUGUUCGGAAUCAUUGGGCGUAAAGAGCGUGUAGGCGGCUGGAUAAGUCAGAUGUGAAAGCCCUGGGCUUAACCCAGGAAGUGCAUUUGAAACUGUUCAGCUUGAGUAAGGGAGAGGAAAGUGGAAUUCCUGGUGUAGAGGUGAAAUUCGUAGAUAUCAGGAGGAACACCGGUGGCGAAGGCGACUUUCUGGCCCUAUACUGACGCUGAGACGCGAGAGCGUGGGUAGCAAACAGGAUUAGAUACCCUGGUAGUCCACGCUGUAAACGAUGUUCACUAGGUGUUGGGGGUAUUGACCCUCUCAGUGCCGCAGCU